UGUAGUCAUAUGCUUGUCUCAAAGAUUAAGCCAUGCAUGUCUAAGUAUAAGCAAUUAUACCGUGAAACUGCGAAUGGCUCAUUAAAUCAGUUAUCGUUUAUUUGAUAGUACCUUACUACUUGGAUAACCGUGGUAAUUCUAGAGCUAAUACAUGCUGAAAACCCCAACUUCGGGAGGGGUGUAUUUAUUAGAUAAAAAACCAACGCCCUUCGGGGCUUCUUGGUGAUUCAUGAUAACUUCACGGAUCGCAUGGCCUUGCGCCGGCGACGGUUCAUUCAAAUUUCUGCCCUAUCAACUUUCGAUGGUAAGGUAUUGGCUUACCAUGGUUUCAACGGGUAACGGGGAAUUAGGGUUCGAUUCCGGAGAGGGAGCCUGAGAAACGGCUACCACAUCCAAGGAAGGCAGCAGGCGCGCAAAUUACCCAAUCCCGACACGGGGAGGUAGUGACAAUAAAUACUGAUACAGGGCUCUUUUGGGUCUUGUAAUUGGAAUGAGUACAAUUUAAACCUCUUAACGAGGAACAAUUGGAGGGCAAGUCUGGUAAUCG
rnacentral:rRNA from 1 species